rnacentral:rRNA from 1 species
AUGCAAGUCGAACGAUAAGGUCUCUUCGGAGAUAACAUAAGUGGCGGACGGGUGAGUAAAAUGUAGAGAAUCUGCCCUUAAGCGGGGGACAACAGAGGGAAACUUCUGCUAAUACCCCAUAUGAGCGUACCUGAAAUGGUAUUCUUGAAAACUCCGGUGCUUAAGGAUGAGUCUGCAUCUGAUUAGCUAGUUGGGGGUGUAAUGGACCACCAAGGCGACGAUCAGUAGCUGGUUUGAGAGGAUGAUCAGCCACAAUGGGACUGAGACACGGCCCAUACUCCUACGGAAGGCAGCAGUAGGGAAUUUUGCGCAAUGGGGGAAACCCUGAACCGCAGCAACGCCGCGUGACCGAUGAAGCCCUUCGGGGUGUAAAGGUCUGUCAGUGGGGACGAAACUUGACGGUACCCACAGAGGAAGCAUCGGCUAACUCCGUGCCAGCCGCCGC